rnacentral:lncRNA from 1 species
UAGGCUGCCAGCACCUCUUUCAGCUUUCAGGAUGAAGAUCUGGUCCUUGGAGUUCAAUUGAUCUGGAUUAGAAUCCUGGUCCUGCUACUCAUACUGAGUAAGACUUUUAACCUAUUAGAACCUCAAUUUUUAACCUGUGAAAUGAAAGUAACAAUUCUUAACUCACAGAAUGGUUUGGAUAAUUAUUGGUGCACACAAUUGUAAAACAGAAAUACAAUGCCUGGAACAU